rnacentral:sRNA from 1 species
ACGGACGGGAGGCGCGGUGCCAGCGGGCACCGCGCCUCCCGUCCGU